UGGGGAAUCUUGCGCAAUGGGCGAAAGCCUGACGCAGCAACGCCGCGUGGGGGAUGAAGGCUCUCGGGUUGUAAACCCCUUUCAGCAGGGACGAAUCAAGACGGUACCUGCAGAAGAAGCCCCGGCUAACUACGUGCCAGCAGCCGCGGUAACACGUAGGGGGCAAGCGUUGUCCGGAUUUAUUGGGCGUAAAGAGCUCGUAGGUGGCUAAGUAAGUCGGAUGUUAAAUCCCCAGGCUCAACCUGGGACACCACCCGAUACUGCUCUGGCUAGAGUCCGGUAGGGGAGCAUGGAAUUCCUGGUGUAGCGGUGAAAUGCGCAGAUAUCAGGAGGAACACCAGCGGCGAAGGCGGUGCUCUGGGCCGGAACUGACACUGAGGAGCGAAAGCGUGGGUAGCAAACA
rnacentral:rRNA from 1 species